rnacentral:rRNA from 1 species
UACGUAGGGGGCAAGCGUUGUCCGGAUUUAUUGGGCGUAAAGAGCGUGUAGGCGGUUUGGUAGGUCCGCUGUGAAAACUCGAGGCUCAACCUCGAGCUGUCGGCGGAAACCAUCUGGCUAGAGUCCGGAAGAGGAGAGUGGAAUUCCUGGUGUAGCGGUGAAAUGCGCAGAUAUCAGGAAGAACACCUAUGGCGAAGGCAGCUCUCUGGGACGGUACUGACGCUGAGACGCGAAAGCGUGGGGAGCGAACAGG